GGCAGAAUUGUCACCCGAGCCGAAGGCGAGGGUGAUAAGCACGCGGUUUGAGGUGGUCUAAUUUCACUCCCGUGGAGUGUAUACGAUUUUUCUGUCCGACGCAGGCGGAAUGCGGCAACUUCGGCACGCGCAGCGGGCCGAAAGUUGCCACUUUCCGCCCGGAGGGCUGAAAAUGUAGUUGCUGCCUGCAAACGGAGAAAAGUGCAAGAGGAAUUUCCACAUGAAGUGCCUGAGAGACGUCGUAUCAUUGACAUUGGUGUUUUGAGUCGUGAAAUGUGGUGUCGUGAGUGCAACGUACCACUGUCGUUUCGGUACAUAGCUGCGAUGAAGCAAAAAUCGGUCUCGUGAGUGUUUUAAAUAACGAUGAUAUGUAUGUUUAAUUCUUGGAGAUGUGUAUACAUCAAAAUGGAUUUUUCGAAGCGAUACCGGUGCCAGACAAUACGUUGUAAACGUAAAAGCUGCUAUUGGUAUACUGGAUGGUGGAAUUGGUGCAACUCACUUGAAUACCAUUCUUUCCGAAUUGAAUGUACUACCCAUUAAUGAUGGUACAAUCAAACGUCAUGAGCGAUACGUGGGGAAAGCGAUUGAAAAGACUGCAAAAAAAGCUGCAGAAACGCCUUACGACAGGAAAAAAAAUUAUCCCAAACAGAAUGAUAGCUGCUCUGCGACUUCUGGAUAGAUGAACGAUACAUCGAGAACUGCAAGUAAUAUUCAGAAAGAAAGAGUGCUCUAUUUUUGUUUCAGUUUUUAUUUUCUACGCUGGGCUGCAUUUUGAUGUAACUCUAUAUUUUGGAGUGGACCUGAUUUUACUUGCUCGUUUGGAAUGAAGAGCAUAAUGAAAGGCAACAUGAUCUGAAAGAAGUUUCACGUUCUCCAACGAAGAUAAAAGUUUCGGUUGGCAAAAAAAAAGGGACUGGUCGCUCUUACAAUAGCUCCACAGGACACGGAAUUACAAUUGGGUCUUUGAGCGGCAAGGUUGUGGGAUACGCUACACGAAAUAAACGCUGCGUUCUUUGUCAAAAAGGGCAUAAUCAGACUGAUCACGAUUGUAGAGUGAAUCACUUAGGUAGUUCUAAAUCGAUGGAGCUAAAAAUAGCAGUCGAAAUUAUUACUAAAAAUCCGAUUUUGAAAGAAGAGCGUGUUCAAAUUAGCACAAUUUAGCAAUUCGAAUAAAAAGUGAUGGGCUGGACAAGUACGUUUAAGACGUAUUUAAACAUAAUUUGUACCGAUCCAAUCGAAGUUGAAUGUUGUGAAUAACA